rnacentral:rRNA from 1 species
GACGAACGCUGGCGGCGUGCUUAACACAUGCAAGUCGAACGAAAAGGCCCUGCUUUUGUGGGCUGCUCGAGUGGCGAACGGGUGAGUAACACUUGAGUACCCUGUCCCUGACUUUGGGAUAUCUUCAUAAAACUGGGGCUCAUACCGCCUAGGAGCUCUUGCUGCUUGGUGGGGGUUGGAAAGUUUCGCCGGUUGGUGAUGGACUCGCGUCUUAUCAGCUCGUUGGUGGGGUAGUGGCUUACCAAGGCUUUGACGGGUAGCCGGGCUGAGAGGGUGAGCGGACACAUUGGGAUUGAGAUACGGCACAGACUACUAUGGGAGGCAGCAGUGGGGAAUAUUGCAUAAUGGGCGGAAGGCUGAUGCAGUAAAGCCGCGUGGGGGAUGAGGGCAUUCGGGUUGUAUACCGCUUUCGCCUGUGACGAGGUGUGAGUGACGGUAAUGGGUAAAUAAGCACCGGCUAACUACGUG